rnacentral:rRNA from 1 species
GACGAACGCUGGCGGCGUGCCUAAUACAUGCAAGUCGAACGCUGAAGAGAGGAGCUUACUCUUCUUGGAUGAGUUGCGAACGGGUGAGUAACGCGUAGGUAACCUGCCUUGUAGCGGGGGAUAACUAUUGGAAACGAUAGCUAAUACCGCAUAACAAUGGAUGACACAUGUCAUUUAUUUGAAAGGGGCAAUUGCUCCACUACAAGAUGGACCUGCGUUGUAUUAGCUAGUAGGUGAGGUAAUGGCUCACCUAGGCGACGAUACAUAGCCGACCUGAGAGGGUGAUCGGCCACACUGGGACUGAGACACGGCCCAGACUCCUACGGGAGGCAGCAGUAGGGAAUCUUCGGCAAUGGGGGCAACCCUGACCGAGCAACGCCGCGUGAGUGAAGAAGGGUUUCGGAUCGUAAAGCUCUGUUGUAAGUCAAGAACGGGUGUGAGAGUGGAAAGUUCACACUGUGACGGUAGCUUACCAGAAAGGGACGGCUAACUACGUG